UGCUCCCGCUGAGGCUCGGCAGAGCGUGGAGCAGCCAAUUAAAAACGCAAUCAAACAGCUAAAGCUCAGGUUGACGGCAAAGUCCCUGGGCUGGUUUGCACGGUGCCUGUCCCAGUGCGACGUGGAUGAGGCAGCGCUCAGGGCCCCGUCGAGCGGCAGGGCCCUUUCCCUGCCGCGCUGCCUGCGCCCGUCCGCACCCGCCUCGCGGCAGCGCCCAGGCGUGGGAGCGUUUUGGCAAGCGAGCGCUCAAGGCGAGGGACGGUGACCACCUCCACUGCCCCAGCUCGACCCAGACCAAGACCUCCACAGACUUCACAUCCCAAAAGAACACACAGAGGACAGGGAGAGUGAAAGGAGAGAUCAUUUGGACCACAACCUGCCGCAGAGGAACGGGUGCCUCUUUCCCACUGGAUGUGAGGAUUCAAAUUCCCCCUUGGUGCAUUUGAAACCCCAAACCGUGCUGCUAAACGGCCAUCUUCCAGAGAGCGAACACUAACUGUAGCGCUGUGUUUCCUCUCAGCUGCAGGACUUCCAGUGAUUGAAAGUCAAAAAUAUUGCACAUCUUGAACACAUCCCAAGUAAAGAACAGGCAGAAGCAGCAAUUUUUAUGCUACUCAAAGGGGCAGCUCUCCUGUCACAAGGGUACCAGCAGUGACGAGUACAGGACAAAGCCAGAAGACUUGUGGCCAAGCAUGCAGGCACGAGACAGGUCAGCGGCUGAGCCGGCAGCACCAUCAGAUCAGCCCUCUGGGGUGGUACAAUAUCUCCCACAUCUCACACUGGAGACAAGAAAGGACCCUCUACAGCAACCGGGUAUUCAAAAGCCAGAAUCACCUUUGAGAUCAGAUCCAGGCUGCAAUCUGCAGGAUUAUCAAACUCCAGGCUCCAGCUCUGUCUUCUGCUUCCUUUGAGUCACAGCUGGGUGCAGUUUGCCAGAACUUUCUGGGUAUGCACAUCAAAUGCAGAUGACUCCUGGGGAUGGAGCAGGGGAAGCAGACACAGCCUGUACUACUAACAGGCAGAAGCAAUGGAUUUAAUAAGCAAUUUGCUGUGGUAAGUAGCCCAGAGAUGAGAAUUAAAGUGGUACCUGAAAGCAAAUUUCAAAGUCAGCUGCUAAGGUAGUUAACUGUUUUAGUUCAUGCUUAUUCGGAAACAGUGGCUCCUGAAAAGCACCAUCCUUCCCCCUGGCAGGCAACCACCUACUGCCCUCCUGCUCAAUUUGGAGAAAGCUGGCCAGGAGGUGCGGGAGCUGGGAGGAAGGGGAGGGCAGGGGGACCGGGAUACAGAGAUGGCAACAACAUGGAGAAGACUUAGCCCUGUUUCCUCAGCAGAAGAAAGCGAGAUGUUGAGGUUUGCACACCUCAGGGAACUUCUCUUAUCCUUCACCUCUGGGAACAUUGAGACCAAAUUCAAAAGGGAACACACAGUUGGCACAUCCUCAUUUCUUCAGCAAGCCUCGGCUUUCCUGCCUACCUAACACGCAAGCGGUUAUGUGCAUCCCUAAGGAACGUUUCCACCAGUGCGUGCCCCAGGUUUCUGAGCAGCACUCUGGUGGAGCAGUCCAUCUUCCAGUGCUCCCGAGAGCCGCUCCAGGCAGUCACGCGUUAUCUGCAGCCAUUAUUAAGCUUUCUUAUGGGAACUGCUACCUCUAAACCUGAAGACUCACUUUGGCUGCAAUGAAAGGUGAGUUCGGUUGGGUCUCCAGGCUCCUCUGCAAGAGGGUUUCCAGGAGGCAGAUGCUGGGGAGCUUCACCACGCUGGCCACGUGUGGUCUCGCUUAAGCGCACCAGAGGUUCCCUCCCAAGCUCCCAGCGCUGGCUCAGCAUGUCUUCGCCCGCCCCCUUUCCCCUGUUCCUCCAAGCUGCGCGCGGGUAGCUCGGAGGGCUCCCGCAUGGGGUCCUGCAGCAGCCCCCACGCACUGCCGUUCACUCCCUCACUGCCCUACAGAGACGCCACACUGCGAGGCCACGCCGCGGCUCUGCCUGCAGGUUUUGCUUUGAUCUGCAGGACCUCAGGGAAGGGAGCCAGGGCAGCUUGCUGGACUGCUCCUGCACAUCAGCUUGAGAUCGAAAAGGACGGGACAACACCUCUCCAAACAGGCUGCUGUGCAAGAUGGUUCUCUUGCAAAGGCUCCCAACCCUCCAAACUUCCCAUUUGCUCAAAAGCCCAUCUGCCCUGGAUUUACAGGACAUCUAGGAACUGGCUCACACCCUGUUUUCCAUCAUGUAACCUCUCCACGGACCUUGCAGCCCAGCCAUACCCCUCAGUUCGGAGUGCGGCUCUGGUGCUGCUCAGCCUGUGGCCCACGGGUUACCGCGCAGCGUAGCGGGAUUGCUGCACACGCUGGCACGGCAGAACUGCAAGAUCAGCUUUGGAGCAUUUCUACGAAGCAUGAGAGACAAGCAGAGAGAAGUGUUAAGAAAACUGUGGCUUAAUUAAUUGAAGUUUGCACCUCCCCCCUUCCCCUAAAGUGAGACUUUGCAGAUUCGUAACCUGCCAGAUCGGCUGCUAACAUACAAGCAGGGCUGAUGAAACGCCACGGCUCUGCUGUCUUUUUUUUUUUUUUAUUGGCAUGGAGGAGCAAGCUGGGAGAAGAAAGAUCCCUGCUCAGAGGAAUGACAAAGUCAACCCUACGUAUCAGCUGUAACAAGAACGCAUGGGAAUUUUUGGCCCCCAGGAACAUCAGAGCACACAGGAACACUAAGCACAGGCAUGGCAUGUGGUCCCAACUUCUUCUUCUCAGCCAAGUUGUGAGUCUGCAGAAUAGAUACACAAUUGCAUCCCAAACAAUUUUUCUCCACUUUCCCUAACAUGAUUUUAAAAGGCUAAAAACUGAACUCAUGGGCCAAGGAGUUCACAACUGCUAUGGCAGAAAGCAACCACUGAAUAUGUGCCGAACCAGGCCAAACCAGUAAUAGCUGCAAGGAGGGAGAAAAAGAGGUUCAGCAGAACAUAAAGCCUUUUCAUAACCGCCCCAACUGAAUGCCAAGGCUGCAGAAAGCACACCUCCCCCUUGAAAGGGCUGAUCUCCCUAAGGCCUGAAGGUUAAGACUCUGGAGCUGCCGGAGGAGAACGGAGUUGCUGCUCUCCCAGAGCCCUGCCCCACCAGAGCCUUGGAGCUCGCCUUCCCAUCCCUCCUGGUCACAGCAAAAGGCUGCUGCUUGCAGCAGUGCAGCCCACCAGAUCACCGCAUGACUGCCGCAAAGGGCACGGCCAGGUUUCUAUAAUGCUCCUCUCCCCUUUUAGCUGCCUGCAAGAGUCAGGAGAAACAGCCCUCGAAAGGCACACAGAAAUCGCAGCGGAAAACUCCUACAACCACCGUAUCACAAAUAAGCCUUUGCACCGUGUCACAAGCCUGGAUCCUCACUCCUUUCCACGUGAUGGACUCAACGUACCUCCGAAACAACUACAGCAUCAUCCUACAUCCCAGGAGGCAGGGCUGACAAAUCCUUUUCCAAGGGAAGCGUCACAGCCUGGGGCAGAGCCAGAAACCUGAAUAUGCUUUUUGAACCGCCCGGGCCAGCCCCAGCCUCCUCCCCGGACACCAGCUCCAGCGCAGCACAGCGCGCAUCUCCCUCGCCUGCCGCGGUCUCGUGCAGCCCGCGCAGCUCCACGCGCUCACCUGCGGUUCCCGCCGUUGGUACGCUCCGAUCACUCAAGUGGCCGCGUUGUAAAUCAAAAGAGACAGGCAAUUAGGAAUCUAUAUUGAGGCCCUUAUAAAUAUAUAUUGUACAGCCGCCUGGAACAUCCAGACGAUCCGCCGGCUUGAUGGACUGAGCAGUCUCAAAACCUGCGAUGGCCAAAGAAGCGUCCCCAAAUUGCUCUGGGAGAGGCCCGACAGAAUCGGACAUUAACUUGGGUUUUUUUUUGCCCUUGUUCACUAAACACCAAAAUUCGCCGUUGUGGAACACAUGAGUUCCACUAAUUUAACCCUAAUUGGUUUCAAACUGGUCUUAAUUAAAACUGGUGUGGACUUGCUUAAUGCCAUUUAAAACAAAUUUAAAUGAGAUCUGACUAAAAUUGAUUCCUUUCUGGAGCGAGCUAAAUCUGUAUAAGCUGUUUAAAGAAUAUCCACAGGGGCACUCGCAGCGGUUGAGCUAAAGUGAUUUACCUCAACCCAUAAUAGAAGCAAUUUCAGUGCAGACCAGAACUCGAAAAUAGGGGGAGAAGUCUGGUUUGCUUUAACGCUCGCAUCUGAGAGCGCCGUUAGCCAGGACCGGAGGUGCCCAAAUGCUCCUCUGCAGCCAGCCCCGGACACGAAGCUGCCCAGCACCCGUUCGUUAGGGCAGGGUGGCCGCCAGCUGAAACCAGCGGGUGGGAGCGAUAGCCGGUGGGUGCUGUUGCUGACGGGCCCUGCCUUUCGCCCGGGUGGGAGAAGGGCGAGAGACGGCAUCGGAGGCGCGAAGGCAGGCCCGCAGCCGGGACGUCGGGAGGAGGGAGCCGUCCUCGCACACCGCUUCGAGAAGGGCGGACGUCACACCGGUGCCAGCCUCAAGGAGUAGGGCCCCGGCGCGAGGAAGCGGAUUAGGUGUUUGCGGGGAUUAUGCAGCUCUGGCUUUACGAAGCUACACACAAGCUUGCUCUGAGCUGAGAGCAGGCGGGGAGGAGGAGAUCAGCGAAAUUCAGAGGCUGGCAAUUCUUCCCGUUACGGGGAGCAAGGAAGCCAAAGGCACCCACGCAGGGUCUGCGUGUAGGCCAGAGCGGAGUGGAUACCGUGUCUAUAUUGUCACGAAAAGGCUGGAAGGGCAGUACCUCAAUCCUCAGUGAGCCUCCUGCCACAGCACCGCUCAAGUACCAUGCAAUCCUUAACACAUUUAACUGCAAGCCCUCUGCAAAGCGAGGAAGCACCUUCAUCCUCAUCACUACCAGGGAGAGAUUAAGCAACUCGUGCAAUGUCACGCAGGAAGCCUGCAGCUCGAGAUGGCUCCUUCCCCUGCUCACACCGAACAUCUUUCCUAUCCAAGCACCUUCUCCAAGGCUUCCAGCACAGCCCUGAGAAGAAACUCCUUUGGCUCCUCCGUAAGCAGCCGGUCCAAAUAUUCCAGCAGACAGACCUGGUCGGGAGCAUUUAAUGCACGUGGAGCCCCGCUCCAGUGCCGUCGCCGGCGUGGGAGUCAGCGCCGACAGAUGUUGCUAAGUGAAACCCAAUGUGGAGACAUGAGAAUCUGCAGAAUGUCUCCCCCAGCAGCCUUCCCCAGGAUGUUUUGAAUUUCAGCUUUUGCAAAUACGACGCAGAGAAACCUCAUAGAGCAGGAUAAAAAUAGAACCGUAAAAAAAAAGACAAAACCAAAAAACCCAGCGCAAGUCAUAGUUAGAAACAGAUGCAAACAUGUCGGCAGCUCAGCUGGGCUCAGAGAAACGUCAGCUCUCCCCUCUCUGCAUCGCAGGAUGCUACCGAGGAAAUAAACCCACUAAAACUACUGACCACGCAUAAGCUUAGGGGUUGUGCUCAGCCUGUUUUUGCAGCACACACAUUGCUCCCUACGCAGACAGGGCUGCUUGGGCACGCAAAUGCUUUUCCCCAUCGCUCCUGGCUGUCCUUGGGAGUGGAGAGGUUACGGGUCAGUUAAAUGCCUUGCAAAACAGCCGUGGUUUGCAAUUGCUGAAAUUUCAAUGUCACACCCACAUUGCUGGAAGCACAGCGGGCAGUCCCAAAACUGGCAGGGGUGCCGUGUAGCCUCACUUGCCAGGAUGGCUUAGACACACAGAGGAUUGAGGUGCCCAGGUCCUCCCGUGGCCUGCAGAGGGGCCUUGCCUGGGGCGUUGCGAGAUGUUUGGCACUGUCUCUAGGACAGGAGUAUUUCUGCUUUCAGCAAGAUCCAUGCAAAACCUUCCUGCAGCCCUAAGCCCCCGCUACAGCUGCUGCAAUUCCCCCAAGCCUUGCGCUUUACUUUGCCACAUUUCUGCAAACCGUUCGUGCUGAAGUGGCUACCAGACCUCCUCUCCAGAGGACAUCACACUGGCUUCCUCCCCACUCAUCACCCGGACCCCGACGCAGCGGCCUGGUGAGCACAUCAUCCUCCCCGGCGAGAGCAUCAGGAAGUUCUCAGGCCAGCAAAACACACGACCUCGCAGUCACCCGGUGACGUCAGACCUCGACGGCUACAUCUCCUGCAGCUCGCGGGGAGGAAGCAGCGUGCCGGGGGAGAUCUUCCCGUCGGAACGCAUCGUGGUGAAGUGUGAGAACUGGCUUCUCCCUGGACUGAAGGUCAGAGCAGGGAAAGACGUGGAUGUAUUCUGACGGCUUUUGCUGCACUCAUCCUCUGGAUCUCCCCACUCCAAUGCUGACAAGCAGGGACUCCACCUGUCCCUGCCUUGAAUGAAGAUAGUAGGCAAUGAAAACGCUUAUCUUACCUAGGAAAUCCAUUUGGGUCCGCUACUGGGUCGUUUUUCUUUGUCAAGGUAAAUCAAUAAGCAAAAGUGCAGCAGGGUAUAGCUCAAACAAGGUAGAGGAGAAGAAAACAGUCAGCAGAGCUGCAGGAAGGCUAGCUGCUAAGUUUGGGGGUGACCUUAAAGUGGGCCAAAGCUAGUAUCGCUGUAGUAUGGGAAGGGCCACAGAAGGGAUGCCGAAGUCUGCAGCUCUACGUAGAAAGGUGAAGCACAUGAAAGACAAUCAACCUGCAAGUAGGAAUGAGAAGCAAUGGACUUUUGGGGGGUAUUUCUGAUCUACACUGCAACCAAGAAAAAAGGAAACAAGGUCACAGAUCUGCACUUGAGGGAAAAUCCCUUCCCGCCCUUUUGAGCUCUAUGCCAAAGUUUCAUCUCCCCUUCUCUACAACAGGGAAAUAUGAGAGUUUCUCAACACUUUAUUCCCAUGUACCAACGUUUAUUUUACUAGUCUAACUGUGAAGCUUUUACCUUAUUCCUCUCCCUACCUCCAAAUUCUAUGCUACAUCUGGGGAAACUGAGGCAGUCCAGCAAAGCAACUGCAUACGGGGCGUUUGGCUGGAAGUCACAGGUAUCUAUAUGACCAACAUCUCCUUAACGUGUUUCAGCCUCUACAGACCGGUAAUCCAGGCCAGCACCACUGCUUUCAUUGAGGAAUCCCCUGUCUUUUCAGCCAGCAGCAUGCUGUCGCAGUCAGUCUCAGGAGGGAUCUAAGCCUGAAGGCACAUCAUCUCUGGACAGCUGUAUCUCCUGGGGUUUUCCAUGGCAUCUUAUCAAUGCCAAAGUAUUAUUUUGGGCAGCAUCAGCUGGGAACACCAUCACACGGCACGGCCAGAUGCUGUGACUUCCUAAUCCUCCUCUCUGUCCUCCACAUUACACAGAAACCCCUCAUCGUCGGGGGUCAUCUCCUUCCCUCCCUUGUCCACAGCAGGUGAAGCCCUGCAGUACUAGCAGACUAGCAGCACCCUUUUCAUCACGGCCUGAUUAAACUAGCACCUGGAAAUAACGGAAUGUAACUUCUAAUAACACUUCAUGGUGUUUCACAAGGAUUUCUGAGACCCAAGUCCAAUUUCAAUCAGAUCGGUCUCAUUCAGAAACUUCCCAGGCUGCAUUAGCCAAAAAACAGAGAAAGGGUCUUUGCGAGGCCCAGAAGAGCAUUUGCAGCCUGCUCCAUGCCAGAUUUCAAUGCUGCUAGGCUUCUUCCAGAGCCUACCUCACAUGGAAGCAGCCAAGCCAAUAGUUUUCAACUCUGAAAUCUGCAGACCUUCUAAAAAUUUUCCCCUGUCGUUAGAAACCUUAAGUUUAGCAAACCUAAGCCAACUGACAACAGGCCAGCUUCUCUUUGCUACCCUUCACGGACCCCCAGCAGCCUACAGACUCUUGCCUGGUGUUUUCAGAUGCUAACCUAACAUUUGCCAAACUCUCUGGAGGUGAGACUUUGCCCUGCACUGCCACCUCCACAGACAUAUGAAUUACACAGAUUGAGAAGCUGGGUGACAGAGAAGUUGAAGUGAGUGUUUUGGCUCACUAGGAACAGAAUCCCUCAAAAAAUGUGCAUGGGAAACCCCUAUAAUAGCAAUUCUCAAGUUUUUUCCAGGCUCUGGAGUCCUGAAACUUUUCCAGGGGGCAUAAAGCGAGCUUAAACUCAACAGACUAGACUUCUCAGUCACUUUUAGCAGGCUCCUGAGGAGUAAUCCAUGCACCCCCGGGAUAUCCAUGGCCUACUGGUUGAAAGCAAUGACCUAGAGCACAUUAGCACACCCACACAUACAAGUCGGCCUCCCAGUAAACAUCCUAUGCUGCCAAGUGGUCAGAGGGUAUGCCACUGUCCCCGAGACCUCCGGCAGGAAGCCAGGCAGGAGAGACUGGAGCAAUCUUGAGAGGAAAGUGCCUCCUGCAAAACAAAGGGCCAUAACUGCUUCUCCUUACAAAGCUCUGCAGGCAGGAAGGAAGAGAUGUGUGCAAAGGAGUUAACCGUAUAUGUGGCAGCAGACGGUGCCGGCAUCCUUUUGGAGGGGGGCUCUCUCCUCCCAUGCAGAACAGAGCUGCAACCCACACCGGAGGGCUCACACCUCUGUUAUCCAUGGCGAUCACCUCUCAUGGGCCGUUGGCUGGCUACUUGUCCCCUGACUUCUGCAUCUUUGGCGAAACACUCCCAAAUAAAGCUGGAUUCCCAUUA